UACGAGUGCCCCAAGCGUUAUCCGGAAUUAUUGGGCGUAAAGGGUGUGUAGGUGGUUGUGUUAGUCUUCUGUUAAAGCUCCCGGCUUAACCGGGAAAGUGCAGAGGAAACGGCACGACUAGAGGAUGUAAGAGGUUUGCGGAACUCAUGGUGUAGGGGUGAAAUCCGUUGAUAUCAUGGGGAACACCGAAAGCGAAGGCAGCAAACUGGUGCAUUCCUGACACUGAAACACGAAAGCGUGGGUAGCGAAGAGG
rnacentral:rRNA from 1 species